UUUGUGCUUCUGUUUUCAGAGAAUUCAAAUUUGGUUUUAACAGAAGUGGUUGAAAAAUUUGAUCUCAAGCAGGAAACUUGGAAUGGGGAACUGGAAGAGAAGACACCAAAUUAUAAUGAGGCUUUGCUUGUUACUGAGUCCCAGGGAAAGGAAUCGUGUACAGACAAAGGGGAAGAUCCUCUUGAAGAUCUCACUUCACGUAGCUCCAGAAUAACUCUGUGCCCAUCACCAGUCAGUUCCACUCCAGAAAGUACACACCCCACUGGACCUGAUGGAGCUUUAUCCCCUGAGGGAUCUGAACUUGAGUAUGUGCCUUCUGACCCUGCACAGCUCCCUGCCCAUGUGGAAGAUAGCAGCGGUUCUAUUUGUCUUGUGAGGGAUGUGGCAACCACUGCGCAGACUCUUCAGGAAGAUGUUUCUGCUGCCUCAGCAGCUGAGGCUUCUAGGUCACAACUAGGAGUGCAGCCUUGGUCUUCCAUGAGUGGAGAGCUAGGACCCUCAGACACCCAGAUCUUUGUCUUAACAACUGAUAUCAAUCAGGUUUCCUCAGUCUUCCUGCAGGAAGGACUCUCAUCUCUUCCACCACCACCUCCUUCUAAAGAAGAGGUUGCUGCGCCUUCCUGUAGUGCAGCUGAGGCCAUCUCAACCACUGAUAAACUGAUAAUGGAUGCAGAGGUUCCUUCCUACAUACAGCAGUUUCCAGAUAAAAUAAUCAUUUCCUUUAGUGGGCAAGCUCUUUCUUCUGUAAAGCUGUCAUUAAACGCAGGCCAGGUCUCAUUUCUGGUUGCUAAUGAUGCAGUGUCCCAGCCUGAGCAAACGGGAGGCAUAGCACCGAUGGAAUCAACUGAGCAAGCUUGUUGCUUCAGAGUGGAAUGUUCCAUUCUGGAUGACAUGCUGAAGAACUGACACAACAGCUCUCAAAAUCACUUAACAGCUGGGCAACUUUGAGGGUAAGACUUGAAAUGCUGGCCACAGUGAAGACCUGAGUGCAGAAGCAAUGAGGUAUCCAAUUUUUGCCCCUACCAUAAGAACGAGGCAAAGCACAGCCAAAAAAAAAGCAUUUCUUCUCAUCUGUGCAGAUGUCUCCAGUACUGCUGCCCUACCUGGGUAAUUCGAAUUGCAUGCAGAAUAAAAACAGAAAGCAUCUCA
rnacentral:lncRNA from 1 species